rnacentral:rRNA from 1 species
GAGGUUGAUAGGUCUCGGGUGGAAGCACGGUGACGUGUGGAGCUGAGAGAUACUAAUAGGUCGAGGACUUAUCCUAAA